GGGGCAGUUCUUUGCUGGUCUCACUUGGAGUCUCUCUUACUAUCGCUGCCUGAUGGGUGUUGGCAGCUAGAGUUUAAGGGAAGACUCAACUGGGAUCCAAGGACAGCCGAGUCGCUUCCCACCAACCCAUGCUGUCUUGGAGUCUCUCCUUUCAACAAACCCAGCGUGGGCAGUAGCAGACUAAUAGACACAGCAGGCUGGGAGCAGCUCAGUGCUUCCGCUCUGGCAAGCAAAGAAGGCUAACAGAACAGACAGGAAUGAUUAUGUAGCUGGACCCUCCAAUCCAGGGGUUCACAUUGACAGAUGUAGAGGACUGACCGUAAGGGACUUGGAGCAUCCACAGGUUUUGGUAUCUGCUUGGGGUCCUGGACCAGCCUCCUGAAGAAGAAAAGUCAUGUUUCCAGCCUGGGCUGCUGUUUCAUCUGUUAGACCUGCUUGGCUGUUCCAAAGACACAGAAGAACUCCUGAGCACACAUCACAGCCUCAGGCCCAGGGAGCCACCCGGCCCUUCUCUCCUUCAUUUCCAACCUCAGGACCGCACCCUCUCUGCAGGCGCCUAUCAGCUGCCAUCCCCUCGGGGUUCACGCCCAGCCAUUCAACUCUGCUCUGUGAGGUUACCAUUUAAGAUGUUUCUGCUUUGUCAUUUUAAGAUGAUGGAACCAGAGGUGGAGAGAAGGCACACCUUCCUGGGAUCACACCCAGAAGAUGGCAUGACCAGGACUUGAUGCUGUCUAAACCCAGAGUCUUCAACUACAGUAAACUUCAUUGUCUCCUUGGAGAGAAAUAUAUGGAAUUCUAUAAGUGGAUAUACUUACUUAUGGAAAAAUGUAUAUAA